CAGAGAGGAGCCGCCCUGGACGGACAGAGGGACGGAGGGACGAGCAUCCCGUUGGUCUUGUCCGGCUGCCCGUGGCAGUCUCCAACACCCGCUGUGGCCCGUCCGCCGCCCGCUUGCCUGGCAUCCCUCGAUCCCGCAGCCUCGGGCCAGGAGUGACGGCCCAUCUUUCGGAGGUGGAGACUGAGGCUCCACAGGGCUGCAACCCACCCACCCCUUGAGAGGCCUGGAGGAUCCCGACAGCCCUGGCCCCUUGUCUGGAAUCACAGAAGCUGGAACCCUGGGGAGAUUGUGCUCAGAUGCUCCAUUCAACAAUUCGUCCAUUUCACGCUGUCCCAGCAUUUAUGGUGACGUGAAACAGAGCAAAGUGACUGCUCAUGGAACAUGCACACAGUGUCAGCAGCGUGCCGUCAGGUGUAACCUCAGGGCUGGGCUGGGGCCUUUGGGUCCUGGCGAGACGGGUAAAAUCAGUUGACUUGGUGAUGGAUGGGGCAUGACGGAGGCCCCCAGGUUUGCCCUCCAGAAACCGCAGUCCAGGAAGAGAGACAAAUCAGU
ensembl:lncRNA